rnacentral:rRNA from 1 species
CCUACGGGAGGCUGCAGUGGGGAAUAUUGGGCAAUGGGCGCAAGCCUGACCCAGCAACGCCGCGUGAAGGAAGAAGGCUUUCGGGUUGUAAACUUCUUUUCUCAGGGACGAAGCAAGUGACGGUACCUGAGGACUAAGCCACGGCUAACGACGUGCCAGCAGCCGCGGUAAUACGUAGGUGGCAAGCGUUAUCAGGAUUUACUGGGUGUAAAGGGCGUGUAGGCGGGGACGCAAGUCAGAUGUGAAAACCACGGGCUCAACCUGUGGCCUGCAUUUGAAACUGUGUUGCUUGAGUACUGGGGAGGCAGACGGAAUUCGUGGUGUAGCGGUGAAAUGCGUAGAUAUUAGGAGGAACACCAGUGGCGAAGGCGGUCUGCUGGACAGCAACUGACGCUGAGGCGCGAAAGCGUGGGGAGCAAACAGGAUUAGAUACCCGAGUAGUC